rnacentral:rRNA from 1 species
GAUGAACGCUAGCGGCAGGCUUAAUACAUGCAAGUCGUGGGGCAGCAUGAGUGUAGCAAUACAUUUGAUGGCGACCGGCAAACGGGUGCGGAACACGUACACAACCUUCCUAUAAGUGGGGAAUAGCCCAGAGAAAUUUGGAUUAAUACCCCGUAACAUAACGAUGUGGCAUCACAUUGUUAUUAUAGCUUCGGCGCUUAUUGAUGGGUGUGCGGCUGAUUAGAUAGUUGGCGGGGUAACGGCCCACCAAGGCUACGAUCAGUAGCUGAUGUGAGAGCAUGGUCAGCCACACGGGCACUGAGACACGGGCCCGACUCCUACGGGAGGCAGCAGUAAGGAAUAUUGGUCAAUGGACGCAAGUCUGAACCAGCCAUGCCGCGUGAAGGAUUAAGGUCCUCUGGAUUGUAAACUUCUUUUAUCUGGGACGAAAAAAGGCUUUUCUAAGUCACUUGACGGUACCAGAUGAAUAAGCACCGGCUAACUCCGUGCCAGCCGCCGCAGUAAUAC